AACGAACGCUGGCGGCAGGCUUACCACAUGCAAGUCGAACGCAUCGCAAGAUGAGUGGCAGACGGGUGAGUAACGCGUGGGAACAUACCCUUUUCUACGGAAUAGCCCUGGGAAACUGGAAUUAAUACCGUAUACGCCCUACGGGGGUAAGAUUUAUCGGGGAAGGAUUGGCCCGCGUUGGAUUAGCUAGUUGGUGGGGUAAAGGCCUACGAAGGCGACGACCCAUAGCUGGUCUGAGAGGAUGAUCAGCCACAUUGGGACUGAGACACGGCCCAAACUCCUACGGGAGGCAGAAGUGUGGAAUAUGGGACAAUGUGUGCAAGCCUGAUCCAGCCAUGCCGCGUGAGUGAUGAAGGCCUUAGGGUUGUAAAGCUCUUUCACCGAUGGAGAUAAUGACGGUAGUCGGAGAAGAAGCCCCGGCUAACUUCGUGCCAGCCGCCGCCGUAAGAC
rnacentral:rRNA from 1 species